rnacentral:misc_RNA from 1 species
CUAACAACACGCAUGCACACACCUUACGCACGUUCGCGCGGACUUCGAUGCCGUGCGCCACCUCCCUUUGGGAGGGGAGGGGCUCAUCCCUCUUCCCAAUUCGCUGGGCCUGGGAGGCGCAGUAGUGACGCAACACAGGAAUGAAGGUGUCGCCGAACGUUUUCCUGCGGCGUCAUCUGCUGAGCCUCCCCGUCCCGGCGGGGCAGCGCGUUCCCCGGAAGCGUGUGCGGGGGAAAAGUUGCACACCAAUCGUGAAGAUGACGUUGCGCGCCUUCAGCACCUUCGCUAAUGCCUCCCGCCGAGCUCCAGCAAAGAUGGCCAGCUCAGGCGCAACAAAUACAUCGAGCGGCGCCCUGUGGCGCCCACACUGUUCCCCGCGGCAGAAUAAAUUGAGAAGAGGGAGGGAGGGAGGGAGGGGGGGGGCUCCGAAACGCGAUACCGUCAGCUUUACAGAAUUAGGCACGCAGGUGCCGUUGCCAUGGUACCUGCAGGGUCAAGUGCAGCAUAGACGGACUUGCAUACGCCCUUCAAAGGCAACACAGACCCGCAUGGCGUAGUGCGUUCGCUUUCGCAGGCCUACAAGCUCACACGCCGCGCGAGCAACCCCUGAUCGAACCACAUCGGGGACUGCGAGGGCUGUGGAAGAGCCCGAAGAGAAGAAGCGCUGCCACCGACUGUGUCCGAGGUGCGUUGCCAUUCGGUGUGUUCUGGUUCAUUGCUGAACCGCAGUAGACGGGCAGGUCGGCUCACUUCAGUGUCCUGCGAGCAGGGGGUGGGCGAGUGGGGAGAGUGGCGGAAGGGUGCGGGGAUGACGCUUCGUCAGGGGGCCGUGCAUGGGUUGGCGUGUUCAUCAUUCGACCUGUAUGCAGACACGCCCACUGCAGGCUCAUGAUGGUGCCAGUGGCUUUCUACAGCUUGAAUCCUCUCUUACUGAAGCAGACCACGCCGCAGGAGCAACGACAACAAGCUGACGAGGUUUACACAGAGGCGCCGACCAUCUACGCACGGUUGCGGGCGCCCCCGGACAUCACCACCAGCUCCGCGGGGAAUGCAUGCCUCACCUACCCUAUUGCCCCCCUCCCCCUCCCCCCAAAGCGCGCGUGCAGAGGCGCGGCGGCAGCUCGGCUUAUGUGGUGUGAAUGUGGAGGGCACACCCGCCGCCCCAUCAGUAGCGGGGGUGCAGUCCUCUCGACACACUGGAUGACGCAAAAUGGCACUGCUGCUAGGCCGCCGGUAUUCCCACCAUUCAGGGGAGACGGAGAUCCCCGCUGGCGCGCACGACUGCGUAUAAUGCAGUGCUCUUUUCCCGCCUCUGUCGCCGUUCUGCUAACACAUCCCUAAGUCUCUCUCUCUCUCCCUGUGUCUUCGAUGCCAUGCCACAUAUACCGUGCCCGCUGGUGGGCCGCUAUCACCCACAGCCUCAUCCUACAUACG